UGGCUCUCGCAUCGAUGAAGAACGCAGCGAAAUGCGAUAAGUAAUGUGAAUUGCAGAAUUCAGUGAAUCAUCGAAUCUUUGAACGCACCUUGCGCUCCUUGGUAUUCCGAGGAGCAUGCCUGUUUGAGUGUCUUGAAGUCAUCAACCGCUUGCGUUUUUGUGCGUGGGUGGGUUGGACCAUGGGGGCUUGCUGCCGCAAGGCCGCUCCCCUCAAAUGGAUCGGUCGGGCCUGUAGGUCAAACCCGAAAGGGGCGUUGUACCAUCCUCGCUCUCGUCGGGACCUUCUGUGCCCUUCCCAAGACCCAGCCUUUGGAGUGGCAGGUCAAAUAAAACUUUGAAAUCUGACCUCAAAUCAGGUAGGACUACCCGCUGA
rnacentral:misc_RNA from 1 species